GACGAACGCUGGCGGCGUGCUUAACACAUGCAAGUCGAGCGGUAAGGCCCUUUGGGGGUACGACGAGCGGCGAACGGGUGAGUAACACGUGGGUGACCUGCCCUCAGCUCUGGGAUAAGCCUGGGAAACGUGGGUCUAAUACCGGAUAUGACUCCAUGACGCAUGUUGUGGGGUGGAAAGCCUUGUGCGGCUGGGGAGUGGGCCCGCGGCCUAUCAGCUUGUUGGUGGGGUGAUGGCCUACCAAGGCGACGACGGGUAGCCGGCCUGAGAGGGCGACCGGCCACACUGGGACUGAGACACGGCCCAGACUCCUACGGGAGGCAGCAGUGGGGAAUCUUGCGCAAUGGGCGAAAGCCUGACGCAGCGACGCCGCGUGAGGGAUGACGGCCUCGGUG
rnacentral:rRNA from 1 species